UUUAUCACCCUGAAAUUCUUCCUCAGUCCAAACUGCUCAUGUGGCAGGUUCCAGCUGCCCAAAUUCCCUAAACAAUAUUGCCUGUUCCAUAAAAAGCAUGCAAUUGCAAGCACAGCAGUCCUGCUCUGGUUCUUAGAACUAUAAACUGACUACAUAGCUCCCUGGCCCGGGAAGGCUACGAAACAGGCAACAUGGACAAUUUAAAGGUGUACAAUAUCCGAGGUUCCAUUUCACCCUCAGGCAGCACGGAGUGGACAAGAGAUGGGGUCUCACUUUGUCACCCAGGCUGGGCUCAAACUCUUGGCUUCAAGCGAUCUUCUCGCCUUGGUCUCCCAAAGUGCUGGGAUUACAGGCUUGAACUGCUGUACCUGACUGACUUUUCCUAUUUCUAAUAUCAGCAUGAAGAACACAAGAAGUCAGCUUCAAAGGCAUCCAGCAAUAUCAUCUAUUCUCCACUUUGCUAAAUCUUACCUUUGGCAGAGCCUUCAUGAACAAGAUUGGUACCCAUAUAAAAGAAGCCCCAGAGAGCUAUCUUGACCCUUCUACCAUGUGAAGACACAACAACAAGGUACCGUCUAUGAACCAGGAAAUGGGCCCUCACCAGACACCUAAUCUGCUGGUGCCUUGAUCUUGGACUUCUCAGCUUCUAGAACUGUGGGAAUUAAAUUUCUAUUGUUUAUAAGCUACCCAGUUUACACUAUUGUGUUAUAGCAGCCCAAAAGCACACCCUGUUUCAAGAUUCUGCAUUCAUUUACUCAUUCAUACAUUCAACCAUAUUUUGUUGGGCACCAAUGAUGCCAGGCACUACUCUAGGUGCUCAGGAUACAAUAAUUAACAAGGCAGACAAUGCCCCUGGCUUCAUGGAGAUAAACUGUGUUGAUGAACAGGAAGUUGACAGAGUGGUCAGAGAAGGCUGGAGGAGAGCACAGUUGACCAGAGAUCUGAUGGAAGUGAGAAAGCAAACUAUGGGAAUGUCUGGAAAAAGAGCAUUCCAGGCAGCGGAAUGAGCAAGUGGCAAAGAUCCUCAAAUGCCUACACUUCCAUGGGAGAAGGCCAGUGAGUGAGGAAAAGAGAGGUAGCAAAGGGGAUCAGAGAGGAUGCAGGGAUCCAGAUCUCAAAGGGACUUGUAGGUAAUGGCCAACACUUUGGACUUCAUGUUUUCAGAGUGAUGGAAAGUCCUUACAGCCUUUCCCAGCCCCUAGCUAAGCCUCUAUUGAUUACUUCUCCUUCUUGUGCUCUUAUCACCUGUACUUUUAUUUACCAGUUAGUCUAUAUUCCAUGGAUUUCUAUUCAUCUCUUGUGUAUCAGUUCUAUGUCCUCAACUAUGUCUCAACGGCAAGAAUCAGUCAUAUUCUCCUCUGUAUUCCCAAGGCCUGGCACCUAAGAGAUGCUAAAUAAAUCUUUCUGGACGGUGAUAAUGAUGAUGUAAUCUCUUAGAAUCUUUUCUAGCUGUUAAGAUCCAUGAUGCCUUUGAACUCUCUCAACAAACUAGUUUGCACAAUGACUCAGAGGACUGACAUCUUUCUAGAUAUUUUGAGAUUAUAUUCAUGCCACUUUUAGAGUCUCCAUCCAUCAAAUGACUAGAAUGAAUUACAUCAGAGUUUUGUUUAAAUGAAGGCUGUGCCACUUGGAAUGGGAUUCCCUUACAUGGAACUACCUACUAAUAUUUGGACUUUAAGCCACCUGAACCUCAGGAGAGUAAUAAAUUGCUAUUAAAUAAAUGCUAUUCUGAUGUGAUCUCAUCACUAGCCAUUAAUGAUGGCCUCAAAUCCUUUGUUUCUUCUCCCAAUGAAAAGUGAAGGAUAAUGCUCCUCCCCUCCCCGACCCCCUCCUGAUCCCCAGUCUGGAUUGGACUUAGUGACUUGCUUGACCAAUAAGCAGGAGAACUGGUGUUCUGGGACUUAUGAGUCUACAUCCUAAGAAACCUUGAGCCUUGAAGCUUCCAUCCUCACAUUUUGGGAAACCCAGCUCUCAUGCUGAAAGAAACCUAAGCCACAUGGAGAGACCACAUGCUGGGCCCCAGCUAAGCCCCUUGCCCAGAGCCACGCAUCCCAGUCGAGGCACCAGACAUCUAAGUCUGAGAUCUCAAAAGUGGAUCCCCUAUCCCCAGAUUCCUCAGCUGACACCAUGUGGAUCAGAGACAAACUGCCCAGCUGAGCCCUUUCUUAAUUCCUAACCCACAAAAUCAUGACCAAGAUAAAAUGGUUAUUUUAAGGUACCAAGUUUUGGAGUGGUUUGUUAUGUAGCAGUAGAUUUAAAAAAACAAAAAACAGAAACAGAAUCAUAUCACUACUGAUCCAGAACUCACAAGAGUGCCUUCCUCCCAAUCAUUUAUAAAAUUGACAGACAGACACAGUCUAAGGUUUAACCAAGGUUCAAUGACCGCUCUGCCCAGAGAUUUCAUCCAUGACAAAUGACACAGACAGAUGAGAUGACUUUGAAUGAGUAUCCUGAAUCAAUCAUACUAAUAGAAUUUCAGGCCAAUUAAAGUCAUCUGAAAUGUAACCAAGGUAAAAGCCACGGCAUCCCUUUGGAUUGCAGAGGUCACAGAAUUAGACUAUUGGCCAAAUUAUACACAUUUUUUUCACUCAAGUCACCAUGCUGGCAAGAAAAUAAUUUAUUACACUACUUAAAUACAUGGAUAGGACUUAAAACAGAAAUGAAAUGUACAAUUCUAUCAUAAAGUUAAAAAGAUCUAGCUACUAAACAAUGAUUGCAUGCAAUACUAAGAAUUUCUGAAAUGAUUUUCAGUCAGAUGCUGCCAGAAUGGAAAACACUCAAUUGCAAUAAAUCCUCUCCUUUAGAACAGCCUUUAUUUGUACAAAGAAGUUUUAUUAUGAAAACAAAAGCUCCCCAAAAUGGGUAGGCAGUUUUACCCCCAUCAGUAUGAAUAUCACUUCUCCCAACAGCUGUCACUUGAGGCCCUGUGAAUAAGUGGCUUCUGAUAAAACAGCCCACUCAUUUCAUAUUGCUCCUCCUCCCUCUCCCCGACUACCUUCAAGUCAUAUUUGGCUCUCCAAAAAAAUACAGAACCAUUAAGUGGACCCAAGGAGAAGAGUAAAGGUAACACACACAUACAAAAACAAAUUUUGGUAGCAAAUGCUUUAAAGCAUCAAUUUUUUAUAUAAACUGUUAUCUUGAACUACGUCUAAACAUAGUCUAUCACCCACAUUUUUCACACUAUGAAUUCACACUCACCAUUGGUACAUUUUAAAGAAUCAACAAAAGAAAAUAAUGACUCAAGAAAACACCCUGAAAGCUAAGGGCAUGGCAAUGUGAAAAUGGUAAAAUGCUUUUAAGAGAAAAUAUCAUCUUCCAACUUCAUAUUUGUACAUAUUUGCUUGAAAGUACAUAUUUGCUUCAAAAAUCAUUCAUUAGCAAUAACAACAAUAAAACCAUAACAAAAGAAACCAAAAUGUCAACACUUGUCUCAUUGGCAGCUAUAUGAGUACAUGUAUUUUUUAUAAGAGAACUCCAGAAUAAGAGAAGAAAAACAUAUUAACUUCUGAUGAGAAUAUUUAAUGAAAAAAAUAACCAUUGCCUUCACACAGAAACCACCCCUUCAGCAGCAGUGAAUCAUUAACUCCGAAUAAUACAUGUUUAAAAACAUGUACUCAUAUUCCUAUACUACAUCACAUUUCCAAAACUGCUUAAAAAGCAAAAGUAGAUGGUAAUGCCGCCAAAGCAAAUUUAGUGACAUUCUGGUUAUGUGGCUCUGACAAUCAAAUGAAAGUUCAACAAGAAUUUAAGAAACGAAGCUGAGGAUAUAAAUCAUGUUCUUUUCAUUUAAGUGAGAACAUCAGCAGCUCCAUCUGUUCCAGCUCUAGGAGCCAUUAAAUUGACACAUUAAAUUCCAAAGAAGAGGAAGGCCUUUAGGUUAACAAGGAAAGCAAGUCUGAUUAAAUGUCAAACCACAUGAUACUAGGCUUCUUGCACCUUCUGUAUCACCAAGAAAGUCAAACCCUGCUCAAUGCUAAUGCAAAAGCACUGCUGAUGGGGGAAAGGAAUGUAUUUCCAAUGCAUCUCUUCCGAUCAUUAAGGUCAUCUGUCUAAUGUGUUCAAGGCAGACAGGAAAUUGUCCCUAGAGCACAGAAAACGUAUCUUUCCCAUAUGAAAUGGUCCUGCCUCAGGAAAAGAACUUUUACUAAAACACGACUACACAAUAGGCAACCUGUAGUACACAGAAAUUUAAUCAUAAAAGUUCCCUUCAGAAUCCCCAAAAAUUAAUGAUUUUAAACAUUUCAUUUAAUUAAGUAAUUUUUUCAAUUUCAAAAUCCUCUGUGAUGAUCUGGUUCAUAAAUGCAUCUGCUCAACACAUAAUUAUUGAUGGGACAGGCACUGUCCUGGGGUCUGGGGACGCAGGAUAAACCAGGCAGUUAAAGCUGCCCUACUUCUCAAAGAGCUUACAGUCUAGAGAAGGGAGAUUCACUUGUCAAGUAACAAGUCCAAUCAAGUGCGGAGGAUAAUUCCAGAUAGUGUUAAAUGCUGUGCAAGAAACAAAAAGGAUAAUGUUGCAGAAAGUGACUUGGGAGGUGGCUAAUUUGGACUGAUCAGGCAGGCCUCAUCAAGGAGGCCUGACACCUAAAUUACCAGAAGGAGCCACUUAUUAGAGCAAAACUGGGAGCAGGGCACACCAGGCACAGAGAACGGCUAGGCUGAAACAAAGGCCUCGAGGUGGGCACUGACUUGGCCGACUGGAGUGACAGAGGAGGCCUGUGCUGGGCUACAGGGAGAAAGCAGGGAAUGGUAGAUGUGACUGGAGAAGCCAGCAGGAGUCCCCAGGUCACGGUGUCCCUUUUGGGCCCUGGUGAGGAGCUCUGAUUCUCAGUGCAAUGUGAAGUCCUAGGAGGAGGUUUUAAGCAGAGGAAUAACAAAGUCUGAUUUCUGUGUUUAAAACAUGGCUCUGAUUGCCAUGUGGAAAACGUUUUACAGGAAAGUACACGUGGAGGCUACUGCAGUAAUCCAGGCAAGGGAUGCAGUCAAGUAGACAGAUUUGGGGAAUGUUGCGGAAGACUUGCUAAUGGAAUAUACAGAAGGAAAGAGGGUAGGUACAGCAAAGAAGGAAACAAGGAUGAUGCCUAAGUUUUUGGCCAGAACAAUGUGGUAAAAUACAGAUGGUGCCUUUUAAAAUACAGUACACAUAAGGAUGUUUAGAGAAGGGAAAGUGGAAAUCAAGAUUUGUUUCAUUUAGCUCACUCAUUUCAGAGAUGAGUACAUGAUGUACCAAGUAUGUAAAUGACUUAACCAAAGAAGUUUAACGCCUAGUUAAAGAGCUGGAAUUAGAACCUGACUUUCUACUUUCUAAUCCAGUAGUCUUUUUGUUAAGAGUAUUACAUUGAGAUUUCCAGAUUAAAUAAUUUCCAGUUUUGCUAUUAUUAAUUAUUCACACAAAGGCUCCAAAUAGGCCAGGUGUGGUGGCUCACACCUGUAAUCCCAGCACUUUGGGAGGCCAAGGCAGGCAGAUCCCUUGAGCUCACGAGUUCGAGACCAGCCUGGGUAACAUGGUGGAACCCCCAUCUCUACAAAAAAAAAAAAAAAAAAAAAAGGCUCCAAAUAAUUUGAAGGUAAGUGAACAUUAAAAAUCAAAAGCAUAUAUGAAUCUACAAAGGUAAUAAAAUUUCACAAAACUACACAGACUAAAAACAGAUUGCAUGUAAAACCUAUUCCAAUAAGGUCUGUUCUUGAAUUACUAGUAUUGCACCAAUGUCAAUUUCCUGCUUUUAACAAUGUGCUAUGAUCAUGUAAGAUAUUAUCAUUGGGGGAAGCUGAGUGAAAGGUACCUGGGAUCUCUCAGUACUAUUUUUGCAACUUCUUGUCUUAAAUUAUUUCAAAGUAAAAAAUUAUUUUUUUAAAAAAGAGGCUGGGUAUGGUGGUUCAUGCCUGUAAUCCCAGCACUUUGGGAGGCUGAGGUGGGCAGAUCGCUUGAGCUCAGAAGUUCUACACCAGCCUGGACAACAUGGUAAAACCUCAUCUCUACGAAAAAAUACAAAAAUUAGCCAGAUGUGGUGGCAUGCACCUGUAGUCCCAGCUAACUGGGAGGUUGAAGUGGGAGGGUUGCUUGAGCAAUGCUUGAGGCAGAGGUUGUAGUGAGCGAAGAUCACGCUGCUGCACUCAAGCCUGGGCAACAGAACCAGACCC